rnacentral:rRNA from 1 species
UUGCGCUAAGGUAGCAUAAUAACUUGCCUCUUAAUUAGGGACUAGAAUGAAUGGAUUUUCGAAAAAUAUCUGUUUCGAGCUUUUGUAUAAAAAUUAUUAUUUGAAUGAAAAAUUUCAAAUUUUGUAAAAAGACCAAAAGACCCUAUCGAGCUAUAAUGAGUUAUAUUUAUAUAUACCUUUUUGAAAAUUGGGGUGAUUGAAGAUAAGUUUCAUCUUUAAGUUAAAUAUAAAAUAUAAUUUUACCUAAAAUAUACAUAAAAAGUUACCGUAGGGAUAACAGGCUAGUCAAUUUUGAAAGUUCACAUUUACAAAUUGUUUUAGCACCUCGAUGUUGGCUUAAAAUUACUUAAAA